UUCUAUGUUGUCAAGAGUU
rnacentral:misc_RNA from 1 species